rnacentral:rRNA from 1 species
GCAUAUCAAUAAGCGGAGGGAAAAGAAACUAACAAGGAUUCCCCUAGUAACUGCGAGUGAAGCGGGAAAAGCUCAAAUUUAAAAUCUGGCGGUUCUUGUAGCCGUCCGAGUUGUAAUUUAGAGAAGCGUUAUCCGCGCUGGACCGUGUACAAGUCUCCUGGAAUGGAGCGUCAUAGAGGGUGAGAAUCCCGUCUUUGACACGGACUGCCAGGGCAUUGUGAUGCGCUCUCAAAGAGUCGAGUUGUUUGGGAAUGCAGCUCAAAAUGGGUGGUAAAUUCCAUCUAAAGCUAAAUAUUGAGGAGAGACCGAUAGCGAACAAGUACCGUGAGGGAAAGAUGAAAAGAACUUUGGAAAGAGAGUUAAACAGUACGUGAAAUUGCUGAAAGGGAAACGCUUGAAGUCAGUCGCGUCGUUCAGGACUCAGCCUUGCUUUGCUUGGUGUACUUCCUGUUCGACGGGUCAGCAUCAAUUUUGGUCGGUGGAAAAAGGCUUAGAGAAUGUGGCAUCUUCGGGUGUGUUAUAGCUCUGGGUCGCAUACAUCGGCUGGGAUUGAGGAACUCAGCACGCCGCAAGGCCGGGUACUUGUACCACGUACGUGCUUAGGAUGCUGGCAUAAUGGCUUUAAUCGACCCGUCUUGAAACACGGACCAAGGAGUCUAACAUGCCUGCGAGUGUUUGGGUGGAAAACCCGGACGCGUAAUGAAAGUGAAAGUUGAGAUCCCUGUCGUGGGGAGCAUCGACGCCCGGAGCAGACCUUCUGUGACGCAUCCGCGGUAGAGCAUGUAUGUUGGGACCCGAAAGAUGGUGAACUAUGCCUGAAUAGGGUGAAGCCAGAGGAAACUCUGGUGGAGGCUCGUAGCGAUUCUGACGUGCAAAUCGAUCGUCGAAAUUUGGGUAUAGGGCGAAAGACUAAUCGAACCAUCUAGUAGCUGGGUUCUGCGAG